CAGUCAUGCCGGUGAGAAAUCAGCUUACAGGCUACUGUGAGUGCACUUUUUCGCAAGGCAGGUUAACAUCGGUUUCUGUUGCGUUAUAAUGAUUGUAGGAAGGUGGCUCCUUCGGGAGUGUUAUAGCCUACUUUAGAUGGCGUGACGGGGACUGAGGAUUGCAGCGGAUGCUUUGCUACGGAUCUUGCCUCUGUCGAUCUUC
rnacentral:rRNA from 1 species